UCGUAACAAGGUUUCCGUAGGUGAACCUGCGGAAGGAUCAUUACCGAGUGAGGGCCCUUUGGGUCCAACCUCCCACCCGUGUUUAUUUACCUCGUUGCUUCGGCGGGCCCGCCUUAACUGGCCGCCGGGGGGCUCACGCCCCCGGGCCCGCGCCCGCCGAAGACACCCCCGAACUCUGCCUGAAGAUUGUCGUCUGAGUGAAAAUAUAAAUUAUUUAAAACUUUCAACAACGGAUCUCUUGGUUCCGGCAUCGAUGAAGAACGCAGCGAAAUGCGAUACGUAAUGUGAAUUGCAAAUUCAGUGAAUCAUCGAGUCUUUGAACGCACAUUGCGCCCCCUGGUAUUCCGGGGGGCAUGCCUGUCCGAGCGUCAUUGCUGCCCUCAAGCCCGGCUUGUGUGUUGGGCCCCGUCCUCCGAUUCCGGGGGACGGGCCCGAAAGGCAGCGGCGGCACCGCGUCCGGUCCUCGAGCGUAUGGGGCUUUGUCACCCGCUCUGUAGGCCCGGCCGGCGCUUGCCGAUCAACCCAAAUUUUUAUCCAGGUUGACCUCGGAUCAGGUAGGGAUACCCGCUGAACUUAAGCAUAUCAAUAA
rnacentral:misc_RNA from 1 species